AAGCGUGACGCAGGCGGUUAUGUAAGACAGAUGUGAAAUCCCCGGGCUCAACCUGGGAACUGCAUUUGUGACUGCAUGGCUAGAGUACGGUAGAGGGGGAUGGAAUUCCGCGUGUAGCAGUGAAAUGCGUAGAUAUGCGGAGGAACACCGAUGGCGAAGGCAAUCCCCUGGACCUGUACUGACGCUCAUGCACGAAAGCGUGGGGAGCAAACAGGAUUAGAUACCCUGGU
rnacentral:rRNA from 1 species